rnacentral:tRNA from 1 species
AGUGUGCGUAAUUUAAAGAAAAUAUCAAGCUGUGACCUUGAAAAUAGGUUAACCUCGCACAC